GAAAAGCAAUGGAUAGCGUGUUGGACUUCUAAUCCAAAGGUCGUAGGUUCAAAUCCCACUCG
rnacentral:tRNA from 1 species